rnacentral:tRNA from 7 species
GGAGGGGUGGCAGAGUGGUCGAAUGCGGCGGUCUCGAAAACCGUUAUAGGUGCAAGCCUAUCGAGGGUUCGAAUCCCUCCUCCUCCGCCA